rnacentral:rRNA from 1 species
AACGAACGCUGGCGGCAGGCUUAACACAUGCAAGUCGAACGCAUCCUUCGGGGUGAGUGGCAGACGGGUGAGUAACGCGUGGGAACGUGCCCUUCAGUUCGGGAUAACCCAGGGAAACUUGGGCUAAUACCGGAAACGUGCGAGAGCAGAAAGAUUUAUCGCUGAAGGAUCGGCCCGCGUCUGAUUAGCUAGUUGGUGGGGUAAUGGCCCACCAAGGCGACGAGCAGUAGCUGGUCUGAGAGGAUGAUCAGCCACAUUGGGACUGAGACACGGCCCAAACUCCUACGGGAGGCAGCAGUGGGGAAUAUUGGACAAUGGGCGCAAGCCUGAUCCAGCCAUGCCGCGUGAGUGAUGAAGGCCUUAGGGUUGUAAAGCUCUUUCGUCCGGGACGAUAAUGACGGUACCGGAAGAAGAAGCCCCGGCUAACUUCGUGCCAGCCGCCGCUGUAA